rnacentral:rRNA from 1 species
GAGCCCGCACAAGCGGUGGAUUAUGUGGUUUAAUUCGAAGCAACGCGCAGAACCUUACCUAGGUUUGACAUCCUUUGACAACUGCAGAGAUGUAGCUUUCAUAGCAAUAUGACAAAGAGACAGGUGCUGCAUGGCUGUCGUCAGCUCGUGUGGUGGCAUGUCGGGUUAAGUCCCUCAACGAGCGCAACCCCUGUGUUUAGUUGCCAGCAUUAAGUUGGGCACUCUAGACAGACUGCCGUGGUUAACACGGAGGAAGGCGGGGAUGACGUCAAGUCCUCAUGGCCCUUACACCUAGGGCGACACACGUAAUACAAUGGUUGAUACAGAGGGAUGCGAAACGGCGACGUGGAGCAAAUCCCAAAAAGUCAAUCUCAGUUCGGAUUGGAGUCUGCAACUCGACUCCAUGAAGGCGGAAUCGCUAGUAAUCGCGGAUCAGCACGCCGCGGUGAAUACGUUCCCGGGCUUU